rnacentral:rRNA from 1 species
CGAAGCUGGAUUCGCUAGUAAUCGCGCAUCAGCCACGGCGCGGUGAAUACGUUCCCGGGCCUUGUACACACCGCCCGUCAAGCCAUGGGAGCCGGGGGUACCUGAAGUGCGUAACCGCGAGGAGCGCCCUAGGGUAAAACUGGUGACUGGGGCUAAGUCGUAACAAGGUACC